rnacentral:rRNA from 1 species
AAGGGCGACUGAAGCGUCAAUAGUUCACCAUGUGAAUCUGCAGUGCCGAAUUGUGGUCUGGAGAUUCUUGCAUUUGGGCCAAGUCCCUUGGAACGGGGCAGCUAAGAGGGUGAGACUCCCAUCUGUCUGGCUUGAUCAUGGAGUCGAGUUGUUUGGGAUUUCAGCUCCAAGGGGGUGGUAAAUUCCAUCGAAAGCUAAAUAUUGGUAGAAGACCGAUAGCAAACAAGUACCGUGAGGGAAAGAUGCAAAGAACUUUGAAAAGAGAGUUAAAGAGUACCUGAAAUUGCUGAAAAGGAAGCGAAGGAAACCAGUGAUGUUGAGCCAUAUUUCCCUGUUCGCUUGCGGUUGGGGCGCUGUGGCCAGCAUAGUCCACAUUGAU